GCUGCUCCUGUGCUGUAUCGGUGGGUGCUAGUGGUGCCUGCAGCAUUGCAAUAUCUGAUGAUACUGUAUUGCUGUCUUUCCACAUGCAAGCUGAAGAGAAGGUGGUGCUAAUAACAGGCUGUGACAAAGGUUUUGGACAUGCAUUGGCAAAACAGCUUCAUGCAAAGGGUUUUACUGUUUUUGCUGGAUACUUGCUUGUGGUCUGUGGAUCCUGGUGAACCAUGCUGGCAUUUCGCCUUCAGAGAGGUGGAAUUUGCAAGUCUAGACAACUACAAGAAUGUGGCAGAGAUCAACCUGUGGAGCACCAUAAGAAUGACAAAUUCUUUCCUGCCUUCAUUCCCAGAGCUAAAGGCCUGCAUGGCUCUCUACAAUGAUUCUGGGAACCAAAAGGUGCUCCUCUGCAUGUCACAUUUGCUCUGGUUUACCUUAACACAGCAAGAGGCCUCUUGGGUUCUCCCAGGUAUGGUCAGGAAGUCAUUUUUCUGAUCUCUUCUGAUAAGGAACAUGAUUAUCAGGUUAUCUUUAAUGAAGGAAUCACUGCUAUCAGGCAGCUUCAAGCCCCAAGGAAUUAACAUGGAGAAAGAGUCUGAAGUUUUCUGGCUUCUUGGAAAAAUACCUGUAUUUUUAAGAGUGAGUAUUUCUAAGACUCUAUGGUACUGCUGUGCCACUGCCAGCUUUGCAGUUUCAUAGCCCUUGCAUCACAAAAGUGGCCCAAAUACCAUGGGUUUUAUGGGUUUGCUUAGAAGAGCACAUGGUAACAUUUGAUCUGCCUACCAGUUCCUUGCUUUUACCAUCCCCUGUGCCCGCCUACUCCCAGCCAGCAUGGCACAAGGUUGUCCAUCCCCUUAGUAUGGCCCCUUGUACAAAAGCUCUUUCUCAUGCGUGACCUGCAGAUGAUGUGAAGAGCAGUGAAGUUUCUGAGCCUUUAACAGCUCCAGCACACAGACAGAAAAGCCCUGCUCAUCUGCAAGCCUAGCAGAUCUUCCUUUGCUGUGUUUGCCAUGACAUCAAUAAAAAUAGAGACAGGGAAAAUGAAAGAAAGAAU
rnacentral:lncRNA from 14 species